UUCUGAGCCGAGGCCAG
rnacentral:miRNA from 1 species